CACCAGGUUGAUUCUGCCUGACGUGGACGCUAGCCUUUAAGAGUAAGCCAUGCAAGCCUGUGAAUAUUUGAAACAGUGAACGGCUCAGUAUAACACAUUUUAUCUAAUCUAGCCAGUAAUAUAACCAUGGGAAACUAUGGCUAAAGUUACAAAUAGAAUGAGAGUGUGACCUAUCAGCUUGUCGGUAAGGUAAGUGCUUACCGAGGCAAUAACGGGUAACGGGGAAUUAUAGUUCGAUUCCGGAGAGGGAGCCUGAGAGAUGGCUACCACGUCCAAGGACGGCAGCAGGCGCGAAUCUUACCCAAUGAGCAUUGAGGUAGUUAUGAGGCGUGUGCGGUUAGUUUUCUAACAUAUGUGCAUGAAGGUUAUUUAAAAAGUAUACUCAACCACUGGAGGGCAAGUCUGGUGCCAGCAGCCGCGGUAAUUCCAGCUCCAGUAGCGUCUGUGUAAUUUGUUGCGGUUAAAACGUGCGUAGUCUGGCUUACUGGCCUGGAAUAAAAGCGUGGACUCAAAACAUGUUGCUUUCCAGGAACCAAGGCCUUGAGACAGGGGAGAGGUAACGAAAUUCGCUGGCGAGAGGUGAAAAUCGAUGACCCAGUGAGGAUAGACAAAAGCGAAAGCAGUUAUCAGAAACUGUUCUGACGAUCAAGCACGUAGGCGGGAGUAUCGAAAAGGAUUAGAUACCCUUGUAGUUCCCAGCAGUAAACGAUGCCUACGCUGGUGUGUUCACGCACGCUAGAAGCUAAAGCUUAGAUGGCUCCGGGGAUAGUACGGACGCAAGUUAGAAACUUGAAGAAAUUGACGGAAGGACACCACCAGGAGUGGAGUGUGCGGAUUAAUUUGACUCAACGCGAGAAAACUUACCAGAGGCAGACUAUUGUUGUGAGAAGGAAUACCUGAUAACAUAGUGCGUGGUGCAUGGCCGUUCUUAACACGUGGAGUGAUCUGUCGUGUCAAAUCAGAUAACGCGUGAGAGGUGACUGUGAUACCGUUGGUAUCAUGGACAACACAUGUAAAUGUGAGGAAGCUGCACCCAAUAACAGGUCCGUGAUGCCCGUAGAUGUCCUGGGCUUCACGCGCACUACAAUUGUUGAUACUUGUAGUAAUCAAUGAGAGUUGGGAUUGACGAUUGUAAUAUUGUCAUGAACGUGGAAUUCCUAGUAUAUGGUUGUCAUCAACGACUGUUGAAUGAGUCCCUGUUCUUUGUACACACCGCCCGUCGUUAUCUAAGAUGGUUGUUUGGAGGAAGAGACUUCUGGUCUAAGACUUCUAAUGACUAGAUUGGAUGUAAGUCGUAACAUGG
rnacentral:rRNA from 1 species